GAACGCACAUUGCGCCCUAUGGUAUUCCGUAGGGCAUGCCUGUUCGAGCGUCAUUCAAACCUUCAAGCUCUGCUUGGUGUUGGGCGUCUGUCCUGCCUCACGGCGCGGACUCGCCUCAAAUCUAUUGGCGGCCGGCACGUUGGCUUCGAGCGCAGCAGAAACGCGAACUCGGGCCCGACGGAUCGGCUCCCAGAAGCUACCCCCAUGAAUUUGACCUCGGAUCAGGUAGGGAUACCCGCUGAACUUA
rnacentral:misc_RNA from 1 species